CGGGAGAAACUGCCGAACUAGAGACUGUCAGAGGCAGGUGGAAUUCCCGGUGUAGUGGUGAAAUACGUAGAUAUCGGGAGGAACACCAGUGGCGAAAGCGGCCUGCUGGGGCAGUUCUGACGCUAAGGGACUAAAGCGUGGGGAGCGAACCGGAUUAGAUACCCGGGUAGUCCACGCCCUAAACGAUGAAUGCUAGGUCUUCGGGGUGUUAAUUCCCUGUGGGCCGAAGGUAACCCAUUAAGCAUUUCGCCUGGGGACUACGGCCGCAAGGCUAAAACUCAAAGGAAUUGACGGGUCCCCGCACAAGCAGCGGAGCGUGUGGUUUAAUUCGAUGGUAAGCGAAGAACCUUACCUAGGCUUGACAUGUUUGGUGGUACCGAACCGAAAGGGGAGGGACCCUUCGGGGAGCCUUACACAGGUGUUGCAUGGCCGUCGUCAGCUCGUGCCGUGAGGUGUUGGGUUAAGUCCCGCAACGAGCGCAACCCCUAUCGCCAGUUACACUCUCUGGCGAGACAGUCCUUAAACGGAAGGAAGGUGGGGACGACGUCAGGUCAUCAUGACCCUUACGCCUAGGGCUACACACACGCUACAAUGGCCGGUACAAACGGCAGCGAAACCGCGAGGUAGAGCCAAUCCGACAAAGCCGGUCUCAGUUGGGAUUGCAGGCUGAAACUCGCCUGCAUGAACGUGGAGUUGCUAGUAACCGCAGGUCAGCACACUGCGGUGAAUACGUUCCCGGGGAUUGUACACACUGCCCGUCAAGUCAUGGAAGUUGGAGACACUUGAAGUCGCUGGGCCAACCCGCAAGGGAGGCAGGUGCCGAGGGUGGAGCCAAUGACUGGACUAAGUC
rnacentral:rRNA from 1 species